AUUUAAGUAGCUCAAAUAAAGAGUUUAGUAUUGAAGAUACUAAGGUGAUUGCAAAUCCUUAAAUA
rnacentral:tRNA from 1 species